UUCCAGACUCCUACGGGAGGCAGCAGUGGGGAAUAUUGCACAAUGGGGGAAACCCUGAUGCAGCGACGCCGCGUGAGCGAUGAAGUAUUUCGGUAUGUAAAGCUCUAUCAGCAGGGAAGAAGAUGACGGUACCUGACUAAGAAGCCCCGGCUAACUACGUGCCAGCAGCCGCGGUAAUACGUAGGGGGCGAGCGUUAUCCGGAUUCACUGGGUGUAAAGGGAGCGUAGACGGCCAAGCAAGCCAGGGGUGAAAGCCCGGGGCCCAACCCCGGGACUGCCCUUGGAACUGCUUGGCUGGAGUGCGGGAGGGGCAGGCGGAAUUCCUGGUGUAGCGGUGAAAUGCGUAGAUAUCAGGAGGAACACCGGCGGCGAAGGCGGCCUGCUGGACUGCAACUGACGUUGAGGCCCGAAAGCGUGGGGAGCAAACAGGAUUAGAUACCCCUGUA
rnacentral:rRNA from 1 species